GAGUUAUGGGUUCUUCGUGAACCCGGCAAACUGCUCAGUAACACGUGGACAACCUGCCCUUGGGAUCGGUAUAACCCCGGGAAACUGGGGAUAAUACCGAAUAGGUCAUAGGUGCUGGAAUGCCCUACGACUUAAAAGCAUUUGCGCCUAAGGAUGGGUCUGCGGCCGAUUAGGUUGUUGCUAGGGUAACGACCUAGCAAGCCUAUAAUCGGUACGGGCUCUGAGAGGAGGAGCCUGGAGACGGACUCUGAGACACGAGUCCGGGCCCUACGGGGCGCAGCAGGCGCGGAACCUUUACAAUGUGCGAAAGCACGAUAAGGGAAUCCCAAGUGCCAGCGCACUGCGUUGGCUGUUCUCCAGCCUAAAGAGUUGGUGGUAGUAAGGACCGGGCAAGACCGGUGCCAGCCGCCGCGGUAACACCGGCGGUCCAAGUGGUGGCCACUUUUAUUGGGCCUAAAGCGUCCGUAGCCGGCUAGGUAAGUCCCUUAGGAAAUCUGGUGGCUUAACCAUCAGGCGACUAAGGGAAACUACCUGGCUUGGGACCGGGAGAGGUUCCGGGUACCCCAGGGGUAGGGGUGAAAUCCUGUAAUCCCUGGGAGACCACCUGUGGCUCAAGCUCGGAACUAGAACGGGUCCGACGGUGAGGGACGAAAGCCAGGGGCACAAACCGGAUUAGAUACCCGGGUAGUCCUGGCCGUCAACGAUGCCCGCUAGGUGUAGGCCGUAGCACGUCUGCGGCCUGUGCCCUAGUGAAGACGUUAAGCGGGCCGCCUGGGAAGUACGUCCGCAAGGAUGAAACUUAAAGGAAUUGGCG
rnacentral:rRNA from 1 species